CUUGACAUACACCGGAAAACCCUGGAGACAGGGUCCCCCUUGUGGUCGGUGUACAGGUGGUGCAUGGCUGUCGUCAGCUCGUGUCGUGAGAUGUUGGGUUAAGUCCCGCAACGAGCGCAACCCUUGUUCUGUGUUGCCAGCAUGCCUUUCGGGGUGAUGGGGACUCACAGGAGACUGCCGGGGUCAACUCGGAGGAAGGUGGGGACGACGUCAAGUCAUCAUGCCCCUUAUGUCUUGGGCUGCACACGUGCUACAAUGGCCGGUACAAUGAGCUGCGAUACCGUGAGGUGGAGCGAAUCUCAAAAAGCCGGUCUCAGUUCGGAUUGGGGUCUGCAACUCGACCCCAUGAAGUCGGAGUCGCUAGUAAUCGCAGAUCAGCAUUGCUGCGGUGAAUACGUUCCCGGGCCUUGUACACACCGCCCGUCACGUCACGAAAGUCGGUAACACCCGAAGCCGGUGGCCCAACCCUUGUGG
rnacentral:rRNA from 1 species